rnacentral:rRNA from 1 species
UAAAAUUGCUUAUCAGGUGAAAAGACCUGACUAUAUAUAAUAGACGAAAAGACCCUGGAAAUUUUUAUAAAUAUAGAUUUUUACUAGUUUUUUUUUGUUGGGGCGACAGAAUAACAGAUAACUUAUUUAUAUACAAUUUGCCAUUUGUAAAUAAAAUAAAUAAAUUACUCCAGGGAUAACAGCAUAAUAUUUAAAAGUUUGUGACCUCGAUGUUGGACUAGGAAUUUAUAGUUCAGAAGAUUAUUAAAAUUGCUCUGUUCGAGCAUUUAUUCCUACAUGA